UACGUAGGGUGCGAGCGUUAAUCGGAAUUACUGGGCGUAAAGCGUGCGCAGGCGGUUUUUUAAGACAGGCGUGAAAUCCCCGGGCUUAACCUGGGAACUGCGUUUGUGACUGGAAGGCUAGAGUAUGGCAGAGGGGGGUGGAAUUCCACGUGUAGCAGUGAAAUGCGUAGAGAUGUGGAGGAACACCGAUGGCGAAGGCAGCCCCCUGGGCCAAUACUGACGCUCAUGCACGAAAGCGUGGGGAGCAAACAGG
rnacentral:rRNA from 1 species